CAGAUUUCUUUCUCAAUCACAGACGCAUGAAGCUGUUAAGAAAGACCGAUCUAUGUUGGAAUACAGCGGUAACCUAAAAAUAGAUGGUGACAGUGACAGAGUCGUAACCAUUGCCGCGUGAUAGAUGAUAGUGAUAGUGAAAUAUAUAUUGACGGCAGGGAGCUGAUGCCGAGGAGAUCUUUCAAAAGGAAGGUGUAUCCAAAAUCGCACACGAACAUUUUAUAUUCAACUAUAUGGUAUACAAUUUUGCCGCUAUAUAUUGACCGCAGGGAGCUGAUACCGAAGAGAUCGUUAAGAAGGAAGGUGUAUCCAAAAUUGCACAUGUAUGGGACUUGUGAGUUAUGCGAAGCAAUUGAUACUAUUAAGGUUCAUUGGUCAUAUGAAGUUUGCACACGUCAAGCUUGACAUCCUAAAGAUCACAAUGCAUUCUGAAAACGAUACCGUACAGGUUCGUUGGCGUAUACGUGGUGUCAUCACAGGCUGAAAGGUAUUUUCUGUGUUUUGGAAGUAAAAUUUGGAAAAUACAACAUGUCAUAAAAUAAGCGCUAACCAGAAAAUAUGGUACGACGGCUUUUUUAUGUUAAUGCUGAAUGGAAAAGUUUAUAAGCAUAUUACGGACAAGAUGAUGCUUAAUCAGGAUACAGCCACGAAAAAGAAAGAUAUGCGCAUGGCAGGGAAAUUAGCGCUAUUCACAGGCUUUGUAAGCAUAUUUAGUAACAACGAGGAUUCUUUGAAUUGAGCUCUGUCUUAAAAUCGUAUCAAUUGAAGUGAAUCCACUGCUGAGUGCUGAAAUUAUACGAUUUUAUCCGUCACAACGAAUAGACCAAGAAGAAUGCUUUUUCCAGUCGAUGGUUUGGAAUGUUGCUGACGUAUCUAUUUCGUUGCAAAUGCAUCAUUAUGAAAUGAUGAUCGGUAGUAAAUGAGAGAUAUGUGAAUUAAAAAGAUGUGUACAUUAACUAAACAGUAUCUUUGUAUGAUUACAAAAUAUCUUCAUCUAAUUUUUUAGUGAAAAUGUCCGAAUAAUUUGCGUU